GAUGAACGCUGGCGGCGUGCCUAAUACAUGCAAGUCGAGCGAAUGGAUUGAGAGCUUGCUCUUAUGAAGUUAGCGGCGGACGGGUGAGUAACACGUGGGUAACCUGCCCAUAAGACUGGGAUAACUCCGGGAAACCGGGGCUAAUACCGGAUAACAUUUUGAACCGCAUGGUUCGAAAUUGAAAGGCGGCUUCGGCUGUCACUUAUGGAUGGACCCGCGUCGCAUUAGCUAGUUGGUGAGGUAACGGCUCACCAAGGCAACGAUGCGUAGCCGACCGGAGAGCGGGAUCGGCCACACUGGGCCUGAGACACGGCCCAGACUCCGACGGGAGGCAGCAGUAGGGAAUCUUCCGCAAUGGACGAAAGUCUGACGGAGCAACGCCGCGUGAGUGAUGAAGGCUUUCGGGUCGUAAAACUCUGUUGUUAGGGAAGAACAAGUGCUAGUUGAAUAAGCUGGCACCUUGACGGUACCUAACCAGAAAGCCACGGCUAACUACGUGCCAGCCGCCGCGGUAA
rnacentral:rRNA from 1 species